rnacentral:lncRNA from 1 species
CCCACCCUUUCUCCCCUAAGCUCACAACUCCCUCUCAAAGAGAAGUCUCUCAAACACAAACAAAAAUGUCCCCCGGCAGAGCCCUCAGGAGCUGGGCCACUGAUCUUGAAAGCAGGCUUCUGAAGAGCUCAUAGCUGUGACCCAUUCUGGCUUAAAGACCCCCUUAACUGGAACUCCCUUCCUCUCAACCCAAAUUCAAUCUGCUUGUCCUGACGACAGAAAUCAACUGAGAAAAGGCCAGGGCCAUUAGCCAACUAAAAUCAAUCCUUUUAUUCAGAACAUACCAAUGAUUUCUAACAGCUGGCUCCUAUGUUCAAUGAGCUGACAAUCUUAUCAAUAUACAGAUGAUUAAA